GAUCAGUUCCCAGCAGCAGCCAUGGGGAUGGCCUGCAGGAAGCAGCUGAAAGCAAACAAACUUUGGGUUUUUACUGUUUCUGAGAACUGUCUGGGUCACCUCCUUAUCUGUGAUUUGUGUUUCUCAAGAAUAGGCUGCUCAACUCUCAGGAUGAGAGGACUCACCGCCUUGGAAUUACAGCUGGGAAAUGCUUCUGGAAAAACAGAAGAUGUGCUGGAGGAAGAUAUUGUUGUCUCUCUGGCCUGGCAGUUCUGUUUGUUUUUUAGGUCACAGCUGGAAUUAGCCAUGAGGCAUUUAACACUGAAGUGGGAGAGAAGGAUGAAACACCAGGAAGAGGAGCUG
rnacentral:lncRNA from 1 species